rnacentral:rRNA from 1 species
GAUGAACGCUGGCGGCGUGCCUAAUACAUGCAAGUCGAGCGAACGGACGAGAAGCUUGCUUCUCUGAUGUUAGCGGCGGACGGGUGAGUAACACGUGGAUAACCUACCUAUAAGACUGGGAUAACUUCGGGAAACCGGAGCUAAUACCGGAUAAUAUUUUGAACCGCAUGGUUCAAAAGUGAAAGACGGUCUUGCUGUCACUUAUAGAUGGAUCCGCGCUGCAUUAGCUAGUUGGUAAGGUAACGGCUUACCAAGGCAACGAUGCAUAGCCGACCUGAGAGGGUGAUCGGCCACACUGGAACUGAGACACGGUCCAGACUCCUACGGGAGGCAGCAGUAGGGAAUCUUCCGCAAUGGGCGAAAGCCUGACGGAGCAACGCCGCGUGAGUGAUGAAGGUCUUCGGAUCGUAAAACUCUGUUAUUAGGGAAGAACAUAUGUGUAAGUAACUGUGCACAUCUUGACGGUACCUAAUCAGAAAGCCACGGCUAACUACGUGCCAGCAGCCGCGGUAAUACGUAGGUGGCAAGCGUUAUCCGGAAUUAUUGGGCGUAAAGCGCGCGUAGGCGGUUUUUUAAGUCUGAUGUGAAAGCCCACGGCUCAACCGUGGAGGGUCAUUGGAAACUGGAAAACUUGAGUGCAGAAGAGGAAAGUGGAAUUCCAUGUGUAGCGGUGAAAUGCGCAGAGAUAUGGAGGAACACCAGUGGCGAAGGCGACUUUCUGGUCUGUAACUGACGCUGAUGUGCGAAAGCGUGGGGAUCAAACAGGAUUAGAUACCCUGGUAGUCCACGCCGUAAACGAUGAGUGCUAAGUGUUAGGGGGUUUCCGCCCCUUAGUGCUGCAGCUAACGCAUUAAGCACUCCGCCUGGGGAGUACGACCGCAAGGUUGAAACUCAAAGGAAUUGACGGGGACCCGCACAAGCGGUGGAGCAUGUGGUUUAAUUCGAAGCAACGCGAAGAACCUUACCAAAUCUUGACAUCCUUUGACAACUCUAGAGAUAGAGCCUUCCCCUUCGGGGGACAAAGUGACAGGUGGUGCAUGGUUGUCGUCAGCUCGUGUCGUGAGAUGUUGGGUUAAGUCCCGCAACGAGCGCAACCCUUAAGCUUAGUUGCCAUCAUUAAGUUGGGCACUCUAAGUUGACUGCCGGUGACAAACCGGAGGAAGGUGGGGAUGACGUCAAAUCAUCAUGCCCCUUAUGACCUGGGCUACACACGUACUACAAUGGGCUUUAAUAGAGGGAAGCGAAGCCGCGAGGUGGAGCAAACCCCAGAAACAAGCACUCAGUUCGGAUCGUAGGCUGCAACUCGCCUACGUGAAGUCGGAAUCGCUAGUAAUCGCAGGUCAGCAUACUGCGGUGAAUACGUUCCCGGGCCU